CAGUAGCCGCGGUAAUACGUAGGUGGCAAGCGUUGUCCGGAAUUAUUGGGCGUAAAGGGCUCGCAGGCGGUUUCUUAAGUCUGAUGUGAAAGCCCCCGGCUCAACCGGGGAGGGUCAUUGGAAACUGGGAAACUUGAGUGCAGAAGAGGAGAGUGGAAUUCCACGUGUAGCGGUGAAAUGCGUAGAGAUGUGGAGGAACACCAGUGGCUAAGGCGACUCUCUGGUCUGUAACUGACGCUGAGGAGCGAAAGCGUGGGGAGCGAACAGGAUUAGAUACCCCCGUAGUCCCUGUCUCUUAUAC
rnacentral:rRNA from 1 species